rnacentral:rRNA from 1 species
CUAAGCGGGAAGCCUGCUUCGAGAUGAGCACUCCCACCUCCUUGAGAGGGUAAGGCUCCCAGUAGACGACUGGGUUGAUAGGCCGGAUAUGGAAGCCCUGUGAGGGGUGGAGUUGACCGGUACUAAUAGGCCGAGGGCUUGUCCU